rnacentral:rRNA from 1 species
UGGCUCAGAACGAACGCUGGCGGCAGGCCUAACACAUGCAAGUCGAGCGCAUCUUCGGAUGAGCGGCGGACGGGUUAGUAACGCGUGGGAACGUGCCCAGAUCUAAGGAAUAGCCACUGGAAACGGUGAGUAAUACCUUAUACGCCCUUCGGGGGAAAGAUUUAUCGGAUUUGGAUCGGCCCGCGUUAGAUUAGAUAGUUGGUGGGGUAAUGGCCUACCAAGUCUACGAUCUAUAGCUGGUUUUAGAGGAUGAUCAGCAACACUGGGGCUGAGACACGGCCCAGACUCCUACGGGAGGCAGCAGUGGGGAAUCUUGGACAAUGGGCGCAAGCCUGAUCCAGCCAUGCCGCGUGAGUGAUGAAGGCCCUAGGGUCGUAAAGCUCUUUCGCCUGUGAAGAUAAUGACGGUAGCAGGUAAAGAAACCCCGGCUAACUCCGUGCCAGCAGCCGCGGUAAUACGGAGGGGGUUAGCGUUGUUCGGAAUUACUGGGCGUAAAGCGCGCGUAGGCGGAUUAGUCAGUCAGAGGUGAAAUCCCAGGGCUCAACCCUGGAACUGCCUUUGAUACUGCUAGUCUUGAGUUCGAGAGAGGUAAGUGGAAUUCCGAGUGUAGAGGUGAAAUUCGUAGAUAUUCGGAGGAACACCAGUGGCGAAGGCGGCUUACUGGCUCGAUACUGACGCUGAGGUGCGAAAGUGUGGGGGAGCAAACAGGAUUAGAUACCCUGGUAGUCCACGCCGUAAACGAUGGUUACUAGCUGUUCGGAUUUCGGUCUGAGUGGCUAAGCGAAAGUGAUAAGUAACNCACCUGGGGAGUACGUUCGCAAGAAUGANCUCAAG